rnacentral:rRNA from 1 species
GACGAACGCUGGCGGCGUGCCUAAUACAUGCAAGUCGAGCGAAUCAAUAGGAGCUUGCUCCUGUUGGUUAGCGGCGGACGGGUGAGUAACACGUGGGCAACCUGCCUGUAAGACUGGGAUAACACCGGGAAACCGGUGCUAAUACCGGAUAAUCCUUUUCCUCACAUGAGGGAAAGCUGAAAGUCGGUUUCGGCUGACACUUACAGAUGGGCCCGCGGCGCAUUAGCUAGUUGGUGAGGUAACGGCUCACCAAGGCGACGAUGCGUAGCCGACCUGAGAGGGUGAUCGGCCACACUGGGACUGAGACACGGCACAGACUCCUACGGGAGGCAGCAGUAGGGAAUCUUCCACAAUGGACGAAAGUCUGAUGGAGCAACGCCGCGUGAGCGAUGAAGGCCUUCGGGUCGUAAAGCUCUGUUGUUAGGGAAGAACAAGUACCGGAGUAACUGCCGGUACCUUGACGGUACCUAACCAGAAAGCCACGGCUAACUACGUGCCAGCCGCCGCCGUAAUAC